GAGUUUGAUCGUGGCUCAGGAUGAACGCUGGCGGCGUGCCUAACACAUGCAAGUCGAACGGGAACCCUUGGAUUCGUCUGGGGGGGAGAGUGGCAAACGGGUGAGUAACACGUUGGUGACCUGCCCCAAAGAGGGGAAUAACCACUGGAAACGGUGGCUAAUACCCCAUGUGGUCUGUCGGUCGGACGGCAGAUUAAAGCGCCCCAUUAGGGGUUGCGCUUUGGGAGGGGCCUGCGGCCCAUCAGGUAGUUGGUAGGGUAAUGGCCUACCAAGCCGAUGACGGGUAGGGGGCGUGAGAGCGUGAUCCCCCACACUGGCACUGAGACACGGGCCAGACUCCUACGGGAGGCAGCAGUGAGGAAUAUUGCCCAAUGGACGCAAGUCUGAGGCAGCAACGCCGCGUGGGUGAUGAAGGCCUUCGGUUGUUAAACCCUUUCUGGGGUACGAGAAGGACGGUACUCAGGAAUAAGUCACGGC
rnacentral:rRNA from 1 species